GACAGAGGAUGCAAGCGUUGUUCGGAAUUACUGGGCGUAAAGGGCUCGUAGGCGGCCAACUAAGUCAUACGUGAAAUCCCUCGGCUUAACCGGGGAACUGCGUCUGAUACUGGAUGGCUUGAGUUCGGGAGAGGGAUGCGGAAUUCCAGGUGUAGCGGUGAAAUGCGUAGAUAUCUGGAGGAACACCGGUGGCGAAGGCGGGUCUCUGGGCCGAUACUGACGCUGAGGCGCGAAAGCGUGGGGAGCAAACAGG
rnacentral:rRNA from 1 species